GUGUUGGCUGUUUCUUUGGAUACAUGCUCUUUCAGCAGUGAUAUAACAAUAGAAAACGUCUGGGAUCAAAUUAUGUGCUGUUACCUGAAGGCAUCCCACCAGUAGGAGAGUUAUUGGAUGCUCUGAAAUUCCUUCUGACCCCUCUGUUCCUUAAUAAGCCUGCACACAACUUCCUCUGAGGAUGGGCCAAGUAUUGCUCCAUUAGUAUGCAGCACCACAGUCAGCAGGGCGGGGAAAACACACACCAGGAGGAGAGAAAAGAGAUGAAAAGCAGCAGGAGCAAAGUAAACGCUUUUAAAUUCUGAACAGAAACUUCCCUCCACUGAGAUUCCUGCAGGUCUGUGGUGUCGUGACGACACGUAAAAUAUUCUGAGGUGAGAGGAAGGUUGGUCCAUUUACUCAGGUUCUCUUUCUGUUAAAAAAUGAAGCCUAGACUGGGAGACAAGGAAUACUUGUUAUUAUGAGACUAGGAGUCAAAAAUCAUGGCAACGGACAUGGAGUCACAAUCCUAAAAUCUGAAAGUAUUCUAAUCCAUAAAGCUGUUGUGAAAAUGAUCAUUCUGGUUUUCUGGUGUUUAGCAGUGUGCUAGAUGCUCCACUCUGCAUUGUUUGUCCUAUAUGCAGCAAUAUCUUCAGUUCCCAGACACUACCUCACCUGGCAACCCUGCAGCACUUACAUCAGCUUAGGGCCUGUGCCAGAUUUUCUCCUUCAUAAUCCACAACCCUGCCAAAAAAUAAGGACACUGUGUUCAACUUACACCUAUAAAUAUCAUCUAUGUGAAUUUAUUUUUAUAUUAAUUCAUUUAUUUAUGUGAAGGACAGUAGGUUGUUUAGCAUCCAGUUUCUUGGGCAGCACAGAGAUCAACACAGACCCAACUUCAGCUACUUCCUCCUUUAUGGCCAGGUGGGAAAUGAACACACACAUUCAUGCUUCUGCACAGCAACAGACACUACCAUGGUUGCACAGGAGUUUUAUUUACACUUUUUAAAGCAUUUUGUUUGUUUAUCUAUGGUUUUGCUUUUUACUAGUGAUAAAUACCGAAUAAUAGUGAUAAACAACAAAUCACAUUUACUUCUGUAUAUCCUAUUCCCACACUGUCAAGCAAGCAAAUAUGCCCAGUAUUUGAAGGCAUUGUGACUUUCUGAGACAGAGGUGACAGCAGCCUGAAAUUAUUCCUGUUCCUCUUAGCUGUCAACCAUUACACAGUCAGCUUCUUCAGGGAAUGAUGUGUUGCAUGGAGGCAAAAAAGAUCCACAGAUUUUCUUAUGAUUUAUUUGAUUUAGAGGACAUACCCCACAGGGCGCCCUCCAGGAUCAGGACUUUCCUCAAGAGUUUUCCUUUCAAGUCAGUGUUAACUUUAAGGUGUCACCACCUAUAGACAAACUAUUUGCUUUAGUCAGGGUUCUCUAUAACAAUGCACCAAAAGACGAGCUAAAGAUGGUGGUAAAUGCAUUCAAAUCCUCCCUUAUCAACCGCAAACGGUGUGGUGCAUAUGCUAAAACCAACGCAGCAGCAGGAAAGAGAAGAGUUAACUGUUUAAAAAAAACAUAUUAAGUGACACCUAAUUAAUGCUAAUCUCAAUUUUCUCUCUCUAUUUUUUCUUUUUUUUUUCUUUUUUUCUUUUCUCUCUUUUUUGUUUGUUUUUUGAUUUUAUUUUGUUUUGUUAUUUUGUUUCCCCAGGAGCAGUGAAAGUUUGAGGUGGGGGGAGGGUAAGAGGGAUCAGCCUACUGUUAAUUGCAUCUUGUUUAGCUGGGUCACUGCAGUUGACCUCAUUCAAAUCUGUGUUGCGGUGACCCUGGCUGGAUGUCAGAUGCCCACUGAAGCCACUCUUAUCACUCCCUUCUCAGCUGCGCAGGGGAGAGAAAAUAUAAUGAAAGGAUUUAAGGACAGGAAGAGAUCACUCACCAAUUAAUGCCAUGAUCAGAACAGAUCGGACAAGGAAAAUUAAUUUGAUUUAUUACCAAUCAAAUCAGAGUAGAACAGUGAGAAGUUAAACUAAAUCUUAAAAACACCUUCCAACCUCACUCCUGCUUUUCUCCACCUCCUCCCUGCAGUGGCCCAGGUUGAUGUGGAAUGGGGUUUGAGGUCAGUUCAUCACACAUUGUCUCUGCUGCUCCCUCCUCCUCAGGAACAGGACUCCUCACUCUCAUUCCCUGCUCCAGUGUGGGUUCUCUCCCGUGGGGAAUGGACCUCCAUGAACUUCUUGCAAAUCUUUUCCUGCCAACCAAGCUGCUGGCUUUUUAUCACAUGAGUUCCAGAAAGAAGCAGAGGAUUGCUGUCAGCUGGCUCCCGUCUGUUUUGCCAUGGAGGGAAGGGUGAGGUGCACAACACAGGACUUCUGCAACUGAGAGAAAAGAAGAAAAAUCAAGAACGAACAAAAUCACUGUCUCUGUGUGAGAAAUCUCUGGGUCUGUGUCUUCAUUGAAAGAAGCUUUAGCAACUUUAAGAAUAAAAUUCUGGCUCUCUUGACAAGACUGACACAUUUACAAGUGUAAAGGUAUAAUAUUCAGAGUACAUGAGGCUUUGUAGUUCAAUACACUGAACUUGGGGAACCUUGGUCCUGAUUAGACUGUACCUUACAUGUGAGGCACUUUGUUGUUGUCUUACUCUCUUUUGUUUUGCACAAAAAAAAUCAUGCCCAGGUUUCUGAUUUCAUGUCAGAAGUAACUGGCAGCAUUAGUGAUGUGGAUUUGAGCAAAGACUCUGCUUUCACUCAUGUUUGCAGUUGCCUACAGCAUAGUGAGGGCAUGGUCUGCACUCCUGAAAGGCCAAUUGUCCUUCACUGGCUCCCCUCAGUCCUUCUGGGUGCUCAUGAGGACAGGCAGGCUUGGCAAUAGGUGGUCCUAUUUCACACAAUUCAUUGUGAAAGAUUUGUCCCUGCUCCAAUACAAAUGGUCUGAAGUAUGUCCCCAAAUGUCCCUGCAAAAAAAUGAGGGGAAGACAGUGCUGCUACAGAUGUGAUCAUUCAGGUUGCUCAGAGGGUGACUUGGCUGCUGGAGGGAUGAGGGCUAGGUGCCAUCUGCAUCUGCCCAGUUUAACUCCACAAAGUUAUGUUAACCUAAACGGAGAAAAUAAUUUAAAAGUAAAGCAAGGAAACAUUCUUUUUAGGAACACUGAACAUAGCAGAAUGUAACAAUUUCAUUGUCUAGUCCUCAAUUCCCAGUUUGAAUGCAUUACUGCAUAUUUCCCAAAACAGGGAUCUUACACAUAAAUUCA